GUGGGGAAUAUUCCGCAAUGGACGAAAGUCUGACGGAGCAACGCCGCGUGAGUGAUGAAGGUUUUCGGACUGUAAAGCUCUGUUGUUUAGGACGAAAGUGCCUGUUGCAAAUAGUUACAGGUAUUGAAGGUACUGAACGAGGAAGCCAUGGCUAACUACGUGACAGCAGCCGCGGUAAUACGUAGGUGGCAAGCGUUGUCCGGAAUUAUUGGGCGUAAAGAGCAUGUAGGCGGGAAUCUAAGUCUGUUGUGAAAAUGCGGGGCUCAACCCCGUAUUGCGAUGGAAACUGGGUUUCGUGAGUGCAGGAGAGGAAAGUGGAAUUCCCAGUGUAGCGGUGAAAUGCGUAGAUAUUGGGAGGAACACCAGUGGCGAAGGCGCCUUUCUGGACUGUGUCUGACGCUGAGAUGCGAAAGCCAGGGUAGCGAACGGGAUUAGAUACCCCUGUAGUCC
rnacentral:rRNA from 1 species